AACCAUGGGAGUUGUCGAACAAACCGGACAGGUCCAAACCGGAUGAGAAUGAUAUCAAAUCGAAUGCGUUCAGGCUGGUAACCUGAGGUUCAUCCUUGUCAACCUUGUCAUACUCUUCAUGGAACUUGGGUUCCUUGUAACCCUUCCUGAACCAUGGGUCUUUCAGGAUCUCAUGAAUCGUGAUCCGUGUCUCCGGAUUCGUGUCCAGAAGCCGAGACAGGAACCGCCUGAGAUCGCUCGACAUCCAUUUGGGACACCGAAACUCACCUUUGUAGAUUUUCUUGUACAUAACCAUGAGAUUCGGAUCAUUGAAAGGCAAGUAACCCGCGUUCAGCACGAAGAGGAUGACUCCGCAUGACCACACGUCCACCUUAGCUCCAU
rnacentral:lncRNA from 1 species